rnacentral:tRNA from 1 species
GGUGCUUUGGUAUAAAGGUUCAUUAUUCUUGUCUGUCGAACAAGAGAUAGGGGUUCGAUUCCCCUAAGCACCGCCA